AUGCUUAUAUUUUACUGUAUUUCCUGUUGUUUAAAUACUCCUUGUUAUUUCUUUUUAGACUCUGAAAUAAGCCUGCUUGAUUCUUCUCUUUUGGAUCAUCUCGAUCAAAUCGACAUAUCGGAUUUGGACAACUAUGUUUUUUCGAGUUCACCUAGUUCUUCGCCCAGUUCUUCACCACCACCGGUUUUAGAGCGAGCUACAGGCAAGAACAUCCGUCUCUCGACCCGCGAGAGGCAGGCCUUGCUUUCUGCAAGGGCUUGCCCAGCUUCAGCUCCCCAGCGUCCCUCGGGGAAAAACCUGAAUCUAACCGCCUGGGAGAGGGAACAACUGUUCGCGGCACACGCUCCCAGUCCCGGCUUCGGAGCUUCUCCUCCUGCAUCGGGGCCAAGACAUCCACAGUCCCUGCCUCGGAGAUCCAAUCUAGGGCAUCUCAGAAGGAGGCGUAGGAGGACCAUUAGGCCACUCAGGACAAGGCAAACACGCAGACAGCGAAACCAGCUCGCCUCCAUCGCUCUUCGAGCUGUAUCUCUGUUCGCUGAAUUAGUGCAACUCAUCUUAUAAUAAGGUUUUAUUUUAUUCUAUUGUUUUUAUUUUUUAUUUUUCUAAUUCUUUAAAAAAAAAAUAUAUAUACGUAUAUAUACAUAUAUCUAUAUAUAUAUAUAUAUAUAUAUAUAUACACGUGUAUAUAUAUAUAUAUAUAUAUAUAUAUUUCGCAGCUCUAAAUAGCGCUUUAGAAGCCUUAGCACAAAUACAGCACGAGGUGCAAAUACCUCCAGAAUUACUGAGUCAAAUAAACAGGUUAAAUCAAAAUAUUUUUAAUGAUAGCCAGCAUUCGCUCAGCUCUACACCACGCAGUGAGUCUGUUAACCACAGUCCACCCCCACCGUUGUUAAGCGGUUUCAACAAUAGUCCACAUUUGCUCAGUUCUCCCCCAAUAAACAAUGCUCACGAUCAGCCCUUUCAACAAGGGGGUAAUCCAGACCAGAGCUGCGCCAGCAAUUCAUCACAACCAUCUAUAGUUGUCAGAAAUAAAUUUAAUAACGUUCAAAUUAGAGAAAUUUUGAAUUUCCCUCCUCCAAACGAUAUACCUGAUUAUG
rnacentral:lncRNA from 1 species